CAGUACCUCAAGUGGUCAGGAUGAUUAUUGGGCCUAAAGCAUCCGUAGCCGGCGCUGUAAGUUUUCGGUUAAAUCUGUACGCUCAACGUACAGGCUGCCGGGAAUACUGCAGCGCUAGGGAGUGGGAGAGGUAGACGGUACUCGGUAGGAAGGGGUAAGAUCCUUUGAUCUAUUGAUGACCACCUGUGGCGAAGGCGGUCUACCAGAACACGUCCGACGGUGAGGGAUGAAAGCUGGGGGAGCAAACCGGAUUAGAUACCCGAGUAGUCC
rnacentral:rRNA from 1 species